GUGAAGCAAUAAUUACGUAAUGCAUUAUGUGUGAAAUACCAUCUUCUUCCUCCACUCCACAACCCUUCCUCGCACCGCCGCCACUUUAGUCAGCUUCAGCCCUUCCGCCCCUCGAUCUUUGAACCUCUAGUGUCAUCGUUCUCCCAUUGGCCCGCCUUUCACUCUCUGUUUGGAUCCUCCUGAAAUCUAUCGGUGCUGCUCGGGAUCCGCCAUCACCCAUUGGAUCUAUGAGUACUCCUUAGAUCCACAAUCAAUGUGUGCUGGUACCAUUGCCAGAGUUGGUGUAAGCUUGAACACCACCACUCUUUGAUUAGGCGCUCCUCUAAGCCCAAUGGAAGUCUUAGGCAAGCACAUUGCUGCAGGCUUAUCUAGGAGGGCCAUACCUGGGGUGGUCUUACCUGGGGACCUUAUCUGGGGGGGCUUAUCUGACGGCGACCAGGAAGGCGGCGGCAAAUGCAUGGAAGGACUAGUUGUAGUUGAUUUAGUUCUCGUAGUUGUUUUAGUUCUGGUAGUUGUUUUAGUUCUCGUACUCGUAGUUGUUUUAGUGCUCGUAGAUGGUACCUCUUUCACAAAAAAUGCCGUUUUUACACUAAUAAAAGGAAAAGUCCAUUUUCUUUACAACCAAGUGGUACCAAGUUUAAUACAUUAAUACAUAUCACAUAAAGUUUAA